AGAGUUUGAUCCUGGCUCAGGAUGAACGCCGGCGGUGUGCCUAAUACAUGCAAGUCGUACGCACUGGCCCAACUGAUUGAUGGUGCUUGCACCUGAUUGACGUUGGAUCACCAGUGAGUGGCGGACGGGUGAGUAACACGUAGGUAACCUGCCCCGGAGCGGGGGAUAACAUUUGGAAACAGAUGCUAAUACCGCAUAACAACAAAAGCCACAUGGCUUUUGUUUGAAAGAUGGCUUUGGCUAUCACUCUGGGAUGGACCUGCGGUGCAUUAGCUAGUUGGUAAGGUAACGGCUUACCAAGGCGAUGAUGCAUAGCCGAGUUGAGAGACUGAUCGGCCACAAUGGAACUGAGACACGGUCCAUACUCCUACGGGAGGCAGCAGUAGGGAAUCUUCCACAAUGGGCGCAAGCCUGAUGGAGCAACACCGCGUGAGUGAAGAAGGGUUUCGGCUCGUAAAGCUCUGUUGUUGGAGAAGAACGUGCGUGAGAGUAACUGUUCACGCAGUGACGGUAUCCAACCAGAAAGUCACGGCUAACUACGUGCCAGCAGCCGCGGUAAUACGUAGGUGGCAAGCGUUAUCCGGAUUUAUUGGGCGUAAAGCGAGCGCAGGCGGUUGCUUAGGUCUGAUGUGAAAGCCUUCGGCUUAACCGAAGAAGUGCAUCGGAAACCGGGCGACUUGAGUGCAGAAGAGGACAGUGGAACUCCAUGUGUAGCGGUGGAAUGCGUAGAUAUAUGGAAGAACACCAGUGGCGAAGGCGGCUGUCUGGUCUGCAACUGACGCUGAGGCUCGAAAGCAUGGGUAGCGAACAGGAUUAGAUACCCUGGUAGUCCAUGCCGUAAACGAUGAGUGCUAGGGGUUGGAAGGGUUCCCCCCCUUCAUGCCCGAACUAACGCAUUAAG
rnacentral:rRNA from 1 species